UUACGCAACAGGCAAAAUCUUGUAAGACAAUAUUCAAAAUAUCCAGGAUAUAAUCCAAAGUUAUUUGGAAAAUGAAGAACAAGACCAUGUCAACGCACUUGAGAAAAGACCACCAAUAUGUUCUCCACUGAGAUGACAUAGAUGGUUUAGAAGUUCCUAUUGUAAGAGGAUGUCUGGGUGACUUUGUCAGACUCUCAGCUCCUAGAUGGUAAAGAAAAUGCCUAAAUCGGGGUGCCUGGGUGGCUCAGGCGUCCGACUUCGGCUCAGGUCAUGAUCUUGCAGUUGGAGAG